GACGAACGCUGGCGGCGUGCUUAACUCAUGCAAGUCGAACGGUAAGGCCCUUCGGGGUACACGAGCGGCGAACGGGUGAGUAACACGUGGGUGAUCUGCCCUGCACUUCGGGAUAAGCCUGGGAAACUGGGUCUAAUACCGGAUAGGACCACUGCCUGCAUGGGUGGUGGUGGAAAGCUUUUGCGGUGUGGGAUGGGCCCGCGGCCUAUCAGCUUGUUGGUGGGGUGAUGGCCUACCAAGGCGACGACGGGUAGCCGGCCUGAGAGGGUGACCGGCCACACUGGGACUGGGAUACGGCCAGGACUCCUACGGGAGGCAGCAGUGGGGAAUAUUGCACAAUGGGCGCAAGCCUGAUGCAGCGACGCCGCGUGAGGGAUGACGGCCUUCGGGUUGUAAACCUCUUUCAGCACCGACGAAGCGCAAGUGACGGUAGGUGCAGAAGAAGGACCGGCCAACUACGUGCCAGCCGCCGCGGUAACAC
rnacentral:rRNA from 1 species